rnacentral:tRNA from 1 species
GGAGUAUAGUUUGGUAGCAAAGCACUUGCCUAGCAUGCAUGAGGCCCUGGGUUCAAUUCCCAGCUCUG